AAUAGAAUAUUUUAAAAGUAUAGCCGACCGGCUAUACCCUUUAAAUAGAAUAUUUUAAAAGUAUAGCCGUUCGGCUAUACUCUGUAAAUAGAAUAUU
rnacentral:miRNA from 1 species